GGAUCAGGAAAUGACGCUUUAAUCGGUUCCGUUCUUGUCCCUAUGAACGUCGUGGUACAGGAAACUUCUGUUCGGGUAGAAAGAAUACUCCUGAGAGGGCAAUUGGAGGUGCUGGAGGUGUCUAGGUUUCUUCUGUCGCAUCUCUUCUUCGUGGUUGUCUGGGUGGACAAAUCUGCUUGGUCAGUCUUUCAAUGUGCGAACUAUGGCUAAUAGGUUCAACUGUUUGAUGUCCGUGAAUGUUCGUUUUGAUGUUUUGGUCUGAUGACAUUGCUUGCUUGACUUCUAAAGUCAAAUUUGGCCUUACUCUCAAUUCUUUGAUGGAUACUGGAUUCUCUUUCGGUUAUAUGCUUUAGCGAUUGCAAAUGCAUCUGAGAUCAUUCUUGGUUGGUC